rnacentral:misc_RNA from 1 species
CUGAGUCGUCGACACGAGUUGUUGCUGGUCCCCACAUGGGGGCAUGUGCACGCUCUGUUUACACAUCCACUCACACCUGUGCACCCUCUGUAGUUCUAUGGUCUGGGGGACCCUGUCUUCCUUCUGUGGUUCUGCAUCUUUACACACACACUGUAAUAAAGUCAUAUGGAAUGUACACCGCGUUUAACGCAAUACAAUA